rnacentral:rRNA from 1 species
AGUUUGAUCCUGGCUCAGAACGAACGCUGGCGGCAGGCUUAACACAUGCAAGUCGAGCGCCCCGCAAGGGGAGCGGCAGACGGGUGAGUAACGCGUGGGAAUCUACCCUUUUCUACGGAAUAACGCAGGGAAACUUGUGCUAAUACCGUAUGUGUCCUUCGGGAGAAAGAUUUAUCGGGAAAGGAUGAGCCCGCGUUGGAUUAGCUAGUUGGUGGGGUAAAGGCCUACCAAGGCGACGAUCCAUAGCUGGUCUGAGAGGAUGAUCAGCCACAUUGGGACUGAGACACGGCCCAAACUCCUACGGGAGGCAGCAGUGGGGAAUAUUGGACAAUGGGCGCAAGCCUGAUCCAGCCAUGCCGCGUGAGUGAUGAAGGCCCUAGGGUUGUAAAGCUCUUUCACCGGAGAAGAUAAUGACGGUAUCCGGAGAAGAAGCCCCGGCUAACUUCGUGCCAGCAGCCGCGGUAAUACGAAGGGGGCUAGCGUUGUUCGGAAUUACUGGGCGUAAAGCGCACGUAGGCGGAUCGAUCAGUCAGGGGUGAAAUCCCAGGGCUCAACCCUGGAACUGCCUUUGAUACUGUCGAUCUGGAGUAUGGAAGAGGUGAGUGGAAUUCCGAGUGUAGAGGUGAAAUCCGUAGAUAUUCGGAGGAACACCAGUGGCGAAGGCGGCUCACUGGUCCAUUACUGACGCUGAGGUGCGAAAGCGUGGGGAGCAAACAGGAU